rnacentral:rRNA from 1 species
CAGUAGCCGCGGUAAUACGGAGGGAGCUAGCGUUGUUCGGAAUUACUGGGCGUAAAGCGCGCGUAGGCGGUUACUCAAGUCAGAGGUGAAAGCCCGGGGCUCAACCCCGGAACUGCCUUUGAAACUAGGUGACUAGAAUCUUGGAGAGGUCAGUGGAAUUCCGAGUGUAGAGGUGAAAUUCGUAGAUAUUCGGAAGAACACCAGUGGCGAAGGCGACUGACUGGACAAGUAUUGACGCUGAGGUGCGAAAGCGUGGGGAGCAAACAGGAUUAGAUACCCGAGUAGUCCCUGUCUCUUAUAU